GAAGUGGCUCAGCUUGGUAGAGCACUUGGUUUGGGACCAAGGGGUCGCAGGUUCAAAUCCUGUCUUCC
rnacentral:tRNA from 1 species